GUAGGUAACGUACCCUCGGGGCGAGGACAGCCACGGGAAACUGUGGGUAAUACUCGAUAAACUUCCCAAUCAUUAUCGGAGGGGAAGCAAUGGGUGUGAUUCCACCUGAGGAGCGGCUUACGCAGUAUCAGCUAGUUGGUGAGGUAACGGCUCACCAAGGCUACGACGCUUAGGGGGUGUGAGAGCAUGGCCCCCACCACUGGCACUGAGACACUGGCCAGACACCUACGGGUGGCUGCAGUCGAGAAUCUUCGGCAAUGGACGCAAGUCUGACCGAGCGACGCCGCGUGUGGGAUGAAGGCCUUCGGGUUGUAAACCACUGUCAGAGGGGAUGAAGUAUACGAGAGUUAUCUCUUGUAUUUGACAGAGCCUCAGAGGAAGCACGGGCUAAGUUCGUGCCAGCAGCCGCGGUAAUACGAACUGUGCGAACGUUAUUCGGAAUCACUGGGCUUAAAGGGUGCGUAGGCGGUUAUCUAAGUCAGGUGUGAAAUCUCUCGGCUCAACCGGGAAACUGCGCUUGAAACUGGAUGACUG
rnacentral:rRNA from 1 species